ACCCUACUGGUGUAUCGGUUAACAUGGCGGAUUCUCAUUCCAAAGUUUCCGCAGCGCAGGGUUCAACUCCCUGGUAGGGUA